rnacentral:tRNA from 1 species
GGUGGCGUCGUCUAACGGUUAGGACAUAGCACUUUCAAUGCUAUAAUGAUGAGUUCAAUUCUCUCCGCCAUCA